CCGGAACGUUUACUUUGAAAAAAUUAGAGUGUUCAAAGCAGGCUCUCGAGCCUGGAUAAUGGUGCAUGGAAUAAUGGAAUAGGACCUCGGUUCUAUUUUGUUGGUUUUCGGAGCGCGAGGUAAUGAUUAAGAGGGACAGAACGUCGGGCCUGUAACUAAAAGGGUUUAAAAUCGAAACCAGCAGCAGGAUAAUAGGUUUUUUCGUC
rnacentral:ncRNA from 1 species